ACGGGUGAGUAAUACGUAGGAAUAUGUCUUUGAGAGGGGGAUAACACGGGGAAACUCGUGCUAAUACCGCAUAAUCUUGAGAGAGCAAAGUGUGGGACCGAAAGGCCACAUGCUUGAAGAGUAGCCUACGUCGGAUUAGCUAGUUGGUAGGGUAAGAGCCUACCAAGGCGAUGAUCCGUAGCUGGUCUGAGAGGACGAUCAGCCACACUGGGACUGAGACACGGCCCAGACUCCUACGGGAGGCAGCAGUGGGGAAUUUUGGACAAUGGGGGCAACCCUGAUCCAGCAAUGCCGCGUGUGUGAAGAAGGCCUGCGGGUUGUAAAGCACUUUAGGUGGGGAGAAAGGUCAUUGGAGUAAUGCUCUAGUGAAUUGAUGUUACCCACAGAAUAAGCACCGGCUAACUCUGUGCCAGCAGCCGCGGUAAUACAGAGGGUGCAAGCGUUAAUCGGAAUUAUUGGGCGUAAAGCGCAUGUAGGUGGCGAUUCAAGUCUGAUGUGAAAGCCCUGGGCUUAACCUGGGAAUUGCGUUGGGAACUGAAUAGCUAGAGUCGGACAGAGGGCCGUGGAAUUUCCGGUGU
rnacentral:rRNA from 1 species